rnacentral:lncRNA from 1 species
UGGCAAUGUUCAAGAACAAACACAUGGUUUUCUCAGUGAUCUUGGUGUUUCUCAUUGUGGUAUCGCCAAUGGCUAAGGCUCAGCUUGGUCUUGGUGGUCUACUUGGUGGCUCUGGUGGCCUUGGUGGUCUUCUUGGUGGCUCUGGUGGCCUUGGUGGUCUUGGUGGCUCGGGUGGCCUUGGUGGUCUUGUUGGUGGUCUUCUCAGUCUCGCCAAUAUCAACGGGGUUGUAUUUUGCUCUCUCAAUGGUGCUCUCAAUGGCACUUCUACUCCUGCUUUCGCUAGUAAGCUUUCCACUCUUCUAUAUUCAACUUAAAUCAAUCAUGCAAAACCCGCCCAACAAAAAAUUGCCUUAGUUCUGUUAACCAUGUGGGUUUUGUUGUAGAUGAUGUAACAGAUACAAUCAUACAAAUGAUCCAGUAACAUAUACAAAAACGGUUUUAUUAUAAAUGUUUUGUUAAAUCACAUAUAUAUCCACAUGCAUGUUUGUU